CUCAAAGCCGCCAACCCGCCCCCCCGCUCCGUUACCCACCGAGCCGCCGCCGGCUAGGCGACGGGCCACGGGCCUUCUCCCCCCUCGACUCCUCCCGCCCCGCGCCGGCGCCCUCCUGGUUCCCUUCUCCGGCAAUCUUCUGCCUCCGGCCCUCUGUCGGCGACGCGGGAGGCUAUCCAAGUCAUCUCUGCUGCAUGCCUGACGACUGGUAUCAUGGAGGACAAUUCAUCAUGGACCGCUCUCUCAAUUGGUCACAUUAGAAUAUCUGCAUUCAAUUUCGGAAUUGUUUCUGAGGAUACCAACGAAGGCAAAGAAAUUCCACUCUCAUUGGAUGUUGUUGUUCCUGAUGAUAUCCUGGAGAGAAUUUUCACAUUUUUGCCGAUAGUAAGCAUGAUAAGGUCAACAGCAGUAUGCAGAAGAUGGUAUGACAUUAUCUACUCAAGCAGGUUUCUUUGGACCCACAUGUUGCCUCAGAGGCCAUGGUACUUCAUGUUCACCUCUAAUGAAAGUGCUGAUGGGUAUGCAUAUGAUCCAAUUCUCCGUAAAUGGUAUGAUUUAGAGCUUCCAUGCAUUGAGAAGAGCAGUUGCUUUGUCUCUUCUUCAUGCGGAUUAGUUUGUUUUAUGGAUAAUGACAAUAGGAAUGCCAUUUCUGUAUCAAAUCCUAUCACAAAAGAUUGUAAGAGAAUUUUGGAGCCCCCCGGUUCAAAGUUUCCAGACUACAGUACAAUUGCCAUAAAGGUAGAUCGUUCUUCUCAUACUUACACCAUUACAUUGGCAAAAUCCAAGCAAAUUCCUGAUGAUUAUGUCCGAUGGCAUUUCUCUUUAUACAAGUAUGACUCGCGUAGUACUUUGUGGGUAACUGUGGUGGACGAGGUGUUCAUUGGUUGGAGAGGGGGUGAUGAUAGUGUGAUAUGUGAUGGAGUAUUGUACUGUUUAAUUCACUCCACUGGCAUUCUUGGUAAUGUUGAUCCGCGUCAUAGCAUUGUCAUCUAUGACCUUAUUGAUGGGCCGUCUAAGGCAUCACUAAUGCAAUCGUCAAUCCCAGUACCGUGUUUUCUCACCUGUGGACGUCUGGUUAACUUGAGGGAGAAACUGGUUAUGGUUGGUGGGAUUGCAAAACACAACAGACCUGACAUCAUUAAAGGAAUUGGGAUAUGGGAACUUCACAACAAACAAUGGGAAGAGGUAGGUCGAAUGCCUCAUAAACUCUUUCAAGGAUUUGGUGAAUUUGAUGAUGUAUUUGCUAGCAGUGGCACAGAUGACCUUAUUUAUAUCCAAAGCUAUGGCGCAACUGCUUUGCUUACUUUUGAUAUGAAGCAGAAGCAGUGGAAGUGGUCAGCAAAAUGCCCUGUGAGCAAAAGAUUUCCUCUCCAGCUUUUCACUGGCUUUUGCUUUGAGCCUCGUCUAGAUAUUACCACUUAAUUGUAAUACUCUGUGCCUUUGCCUUCCAAUGGAAUCAGGUUGGCAAUCUUAGUCUUUGUGAAUAUAUGCAUGCUUCGUUAGAUUGUUGCUUGUCAUUCGUCCUGAUGGUUUAAUCUUCAGUAUGUAGAUCUAUCUCUCUGUUAAAAAAUGUGGCUUCUAUAUUCGUGAAAAAGAGUGCAUCCAUCUAUGUCAUUUAUCAGGUUUAUCUGAAUUCUCCAGUUCAGCCAAUCACUGCCUUGACAAAAGCUGCAUACAGUGUCAAUGCUUGAUGCAGCAGGCUUAGCACCCAUGCAUAUAAGUGAACGAGCGAUUGUCCUUGCAGCAUGGUUAGACAGAUACUCGACAAGUUCAACUGUAUGCAUUUUGUUUCUUGCGAUACUUCAUCAAUGAUGGGCCUACCCAUCUGAAGCUGCUGCUCCGGAACAGCUUGCACACUGGACGUACCAGGCGAUUGAAAGCCGUUUCUCUGAACACUGACCAGUCACCAGCUGAUUUUGUAGAAUCAUCAUGGGCCAAAAUCCAGGUUUCCACUUGUAGGACCUGGCCCAUCCUUCACUGUCCGUCCCUGAAACCGCCAUGACUCUGCGUGCGUGAUGCAAGUAAAGCCAGAGAGGCCAUUGAUGAGAUUCCAGCUCGUCACAGCUCUCUCUGUAUGUAGUGCUCAGCUGUGGCAUUCAUAGUUCAGCCGUCUCAGCGUUUCUCAGAAUGGUGUCACGCGCUCAUGCUCUGCAUAUGAUUUUGUUUUGUUGCCUUGCAGUUUGCACAGUUCUCUCUCACAAUAUUUUUUUUUGGCCGUUUUAAACUUGUUAGCUCACUCUAGGUAUGGGCACCAUGCCACCAUGAUAUAUUUGAUAUGGGGCCAAAUUGUAUGAUGCUUUUCUUUCCUAACCUUUACCUCAGCUCUGAUUUGUUUCCCUGUUCUGUUCUGUGUGGUGUUUUAACCAGAGUACCGCCAGUCAGAUGUGGCCUACCUUACAGGUUUGUAAUCGUUUUUGUUCGCUAAGAAAUCAUUAAUCUCCUAUUG